rnacentral:misc_RNA from 1 species
GAUCAGUACUGUUCUAUAUCUUUUGGAAACUACUGUAUGAGUACUGUUCAAAUUUUACAUUCAAUCUUGUCUCAAUUUGGGAAAUAAGCGUCUGUACUAAAGUAUCGGAAGAAGGAUCUCUUCUCAAUAUUCACCACAGCAGUUCAUUAACAAGUCUCCGAAGUUCUCUAUCUGAUUGAAAACCAGAACCGACUUGAAAAUGAAGCUGAUUCCAGUUAUUCCACUGUUCAUUUGCAUGGGUUUACUUUCGGUACAAGUGAGAGGUGAAGACGACGCACGAACAAAAGCUGCAAAACUUCUUUUCAAAAGCAUAACUGGAAACAGAGGAACAGUUGAUAUGUCUAAGCUUGCUGCAUAUCUAAGAAGAGGGAACAGAUUGGAUCAACAAUUUAAAAACGCAUUAGACCAAGCAAUUCUCAGAAGCGGAAGAGGAAACGUUGGCUUGAAUGAAUUUAUACAAAUAAGAUUGGCAAAUCCAAAUUAAUAAAUGAUGAAGUGGAACGCUAUUGUUUCAACGCUGCUCUCACAUAAAAAGGUAAACAAUCUGAGUCAAUUUCUAUGAAUUAUGGUACUUCACUUCUCUUCAAUCCAUAAUUACACGUUAUACAAUUUGUGACAUUUUAAAAUUAUUGACAUAAUGGAAUGAAAUAAAUCGAAGAAAUAGAAUAUAUUAUUAUUAUCAAAGGCUAGGAAGAGUAUCAAAAUGUAAUGUUACCUGAUGGCAAUGAAGAUUAUACUUAUCAACAGCUGAGACUGAGAUAAGAGCACCGUCCUAUACGGCAUAUUUUGAAAGAAUUAUUUAUUGCAAAUAAUUAAUUGUAAAUUGUUUAUAGUCAACCAUCAAAUUUAGAGAUUACAACUUUGUUUAUGUUAGUGAACAGCUGUUUUGAAUGCAGUCAAGAAAUUAGUCAAAAUGAAUUAUUUGUACUACUGAACUUUUGUUUCAAAACAAUGAUAUAACUACUUCUAAAAACCAAUAAUUAUUGUAAUAAGGAUGAGAGUUUCAAAAUAAAGAUAUAUUUAUUAUUGUUAAAAUAAUUCAUUAAUGGGAAUGUACAACAUGUUAAAUAUUAUAAAAGCGAGCAUGGUCAUGGUACAAGUUUUAUCACUGAUAAGAAUUGUAAUAUGCAUUUUUUGUUAUUUAUUAUUGUUAUAAGAAUCUCUUGUAUGAAAUAUAGAUACUACAUAAUAAUUAUUAUAGAAUCAACCGCAUGGACUGAUGUAAAAAUCUCUGUAACCCUUUCAGGCCAAUUGUAGGUCAGAAAAAUGACACCAAAAAGGGAUGAUAUUCAAACAUGAUAUUCUAUUUCUGUGAUCAGCGACUAGAAAAGGUCUUAUCAUAUGUGGUAAAACAUUGUUCGUUGAAUAAGGAGAAAUAUGAAGAAAAUUUAUUUACUGAUAAAAGGCAGAUAAUUUAAGUUUAUUUAUUGUAAAGCAAGGAAUAUUCUCUUUCUCAUCUCUGACGUGAUGUAGACGUCAUACUAGUUCCACCAAUAGCAAAAUUUUUAUGCAAAUUAAGUAAGACGGAACUGCUCAGCCAAAAGUUUUGAGAAAAGAGACAGUUACAUCCCUUUUAAUGACUUCACCGUAAAUACCUUGCUCUAGAAGGUUACCAUUUUCUAGUGAGAUUCUUAUUUGUUAAAUUUAUGUACUUUAAUUGUUAGCCUAUACCUGAGGCAAUACUAUUUGUUACAUUUGUGAAUUAUUCUAUCAAUUGAUUGCUUCCAUGAAUCUGAAUUUUAUUAUUCAUUUUUGAUUGGUAAAGGAUAUAAUUAAUUUCUAAAAAUCUCCCAUGUGCUGAAGACUGAAGUUUGGACAAGCCAUUGAAUCUGAAUUAAUUCAAAGAAACUAUUAUGCCAAGAAGGAUCACGUGAGUUAUCCUUUAUUUUAUGGGGCCCCACCCUUCGCUUCAAAAAAGUACAAAAAUUAUUUCAAUUUUACUUCAAUAAAUAAAUUGGCCAUGUCAAAAGCGCUAAUAAAAUAAAUGUACUGAAUAAUAAUUGUGAGUUUUUGUGGUUGUUUAACUGUCCUUAUCUGCCUGAAUCACGACCCUGAUUGAAUUUCAAAUAUUGUAAUAUUCUUGGUUAAAUCAUUUAGAAUUCCAAUUUACCUAUAAGAGUUUUUGAACUUUGUAAAAGGAAUGUGGAUGAUAGCCCAGCAUCAUAGCACAAAUCAAAUAAGCCUGUAAACAGAAAAUUAUUCAAAACUUGUCUAUCAAAUCUUGAAACUGUACUGUUUAUCAACUAUUAUUACUGCUCAUUAUAUUUCAAAUUGAAUACUUUAUU